rnacentral:pre_miRNA from 1 species
UUUGUACUCCCUCCGUCCCAAAAUUCUUGCCUUAAAUUUGUCUAAAUACGGAUGUAUCUAGUUACAUUUUAGUGUUAGAUACAUCCGUAUCUAAACAAAUGUAAGACAAGAAUUUUGGGAUGGAGGGAAUACUAC